rnacentral:rRNA from 1 species
GAUGAACGCUGGCGGCGUGCCUAAUACAUGCAAGUCGAGCGAACAGAUAAGGAGCUUGCUCCUUUGACGUUAGCGGCGGACGGGUGAGUUACACGUGGAUAACCUACCUAUAAGACUGGGAUAACUUCGGGAAACCGGAGCUAAUACCGGAUAACAUAUUGAACCGCAUGGUUCAAUAGUGAAAGGCGGCUUUGCUGUCACUUAUAGAUGGAUCCGCGCCGUAUUAGCUAGUUGGUAAGGUAACGGCUUACCAAGGCAACGAUACGUAGCCGACCUGAGAGGGUGAUCGGCCACACUGGAACUGAGACACGGUCCAGACUCCUACGGGAGGCAGCAGUAGGGAAUCUUCCGCAAUGGGCGAAAGCCUGACGGAGCAACGCCGCGUGAGUGAUGAAGGUCUUCGGAUCGUAAAACUCUGUUAUCAGGGAAGAACAAAUGUGUAAGUAACUGUGCACAUCUUGACGGUACCUGACCAGAAAGCCACGGCUAACUACGUG